GUCAGCAGAAUGGCUCAAGGGAGGCCUUCAUGCACAGCAUCCAGAAUCAAGGCUUGAAUUCACCAAUUCUGUUCAAUUAUCCUGAGGAACUGGAGUCAGCAGGCAACCUAGAGGCCACAUACUGUUCAUACAGCAGCCAGGAUGGAAUUUAUCAGCUGCCCCAAUAUCCCCAGCAGCACCAGCUCUCCCAGUUUCACCAUCUGCCAGCUCACCUGACCAGCAAUGUACUCUCCAGUGUCCACCUCAGUCCUACAACACCCACUGAGUCUCAUACAGCUUUCCUCUCCUUACCUAGUAACAGUGGAGCUGUAACCCAUGGGGCAUCAGGAACCACACAAGCAUACAUACAAAGCCAUGUGGGGGAACAGCUCUUGUUACAGCAGCCAAGUGAAAACUCAGGCAUCCCUUCCUAUCCAGCUGUCCCCUGGAAUGAUUUCUACAUGCAGGGAGCUCCAUUCUCAAAUCAGUUGUGCUCACAAGUGCUAUUUUCUAGCACAACAGGAGGAAAGUACUUCACUGAGCAGACUUCCUAUGCUCAGGAACCUUGCCUACCCACCUCCCCCCAUUUUCAAGUGCCCAAUGGAACAACACUGGGAUCCAUACCACAUGAUGAAAAACAAAAAGGAGGGACACCAUCAGACCACAGUUCAUAUCAGAAUCACCAACGACAGCCAGAGAUGACAUCUCUUCCUGAAAGAGAGGAAGUAGAGAGUAGCAGCAAGAAAGAAGAGACUAUUGUUGAAAUUAAGAAGAAACUAAUGACUGAUGCUCCACUCUGAGAGGACAAAAAAAAGGAAGAGGAAACGUUGCCAUUUUUUAAACUCUGCAAAAUAAGAGACCGAAAACAAGAGACAAGAAUAAUAUUUGCAACAGAAGCAAUAUUUUGUUUCUUUUUUGGGGUUGUAUUUUUUUUCCCUUGUUGCCAUGAUUAUUUUCUUGCUGAGGAAAGAAGAAGGGAAAUUUCAGCCAAUAAAGGCUUCUGGUCUGUGUUUUUUUGCA
rnacentral:lncRNA from 14 species